rnacentral:lncRNA from 1 species
GAAGCAAAUCAACUCUUUCAUGGGACAGUGGCAGAAGAAACCCAAGUCAGCUGCAGAACGAACAACACAACCCCUUACAAAAGGGCGUCCCAGACUGGGGCCGUUGCAGCAGUAGGGGCAGUGCCUCUUGGAAGGGAUCUCACGGUGAGACUGAAACCUUUUCAAAAGGCAUUAUGAAACAUGAUUAGAUUAUUAAGCAUAAUCAUUAAACAUAAACAGAUAACCUAAACCCAAGGAGAAAACACGUUUCAGAUUGAAGACCACAAAAGCACCAUAUUCUAUUCCAAGACAACUUCAGUUCCAAUUUCAAUUUCAUGACUAGCAUUUCACCCUCCCUGCUGUGGAAGGGGGGAAAGGAAGGAAGGGAGAGCCUUCUAGCCCCACAUCCCUUUAGAGAUCACCCUAUAGCUCCAGAUCAUCCUGUGGACCCACACAGCCCCUUAGAGGACCACAUCCUCCAAACACCCCCUAUAGCCUCAGAUCUCCCUAUAUCUCCAAAGAGCCCAAAAGAGCCCCUUCAUAACCUCCAAAGCCCUCUUUUAUCCCCCCCCAUACCUUCUCCAGCAUAACAUCCCUCUCUAGAAACCCUCUCCGGCCCUCUAUCAUCCUAUACCCUCACACAGCCCACCACAGCCCCCUAAAAACCCACAAUUGCCCCAUGUCUCCUUAUAUCUCCUCCAUAGCCCCCUAUAGCCUCCUACCCUACUAGAACCCUCCUACAGCCCACCCACAGAACCCUAUAGCCACAUAACCACCUAUAAACUUGCUAUAGCUCUCCCACUGCCUCCUAUAGCCUCCCCAUAGAACCAUAUAGCUCCCCCAAUACCACCCUACAGCGACAUAUUAUUCCCCUGUUCCCUAAAGCCCCAUAGAACCCCAUAUCCCCCCUACAGCCCUAACACCCUCCCUACAGUCCCCCAGCCUUUAAAGCCCCAUCACCCCUUACAGCUACCCACAGCCCUACACUGGCCCUAGACCCUCUCCAGAGACCCCCACACUCUCCCAUAUCCAACCUCAUAUCCCCCCAGAACCCUACUAUACUCCAUAUCUCCUCUAUAUCCCCCAACAGCCCCCCACAGACACCCUAUAUCCUCCCUCAGGCCCCCACAAUCUCCUACAACACAACAUCCUUCCCUAGAGCCCCC